rnacentral:tRNA from 1 species
GGGGUUAUGGCUCAGUAGUAGAGUGCUCACCUAGCACGUGUGAGGCUCUGGGUUCAAUCCUAAGCGCCCCA